rnacentral:lncRNA from 1 species
CUUUAAAUGACUUUUCUAGAGUUCUUGUUUCUUACCUAUCUUCUUUUUCACUACUCAGCUAAAUACAAAUUUUAAAUCCCUCACAAAAAUGUGCACAUCUGUAAUGACUGGGAAUUUUAUAACAUUUUUAGCCCUCAAUACGAUCAAGCAGCUUUACAGAAAAUAUCCUGUGUUCUUGAAUAAGCAAAAUGCAACACAUAUUAAUAAAUUUUCCUGAAUUUACAAUGCUUUGUGUUCUGUAUUUCUGAAAAAUGGCAUGGAUCUGGAAUAUUAGAUGUGGAAAUGGUUUAUGCACAAAGUGUAUAUGUGUAGGUGUUUGGGCCCAGGGCCAGGUGAGAGUUGGCUCAAUCAAUAUGUCUGUGUGUUUUCCUCUGCUUCAUUUUUUCACUGUAAGGUAUUCAUUCCCUAGCAUACAGCUUUGAUGGAAGUGUUCAAAAGUCAAGCGCUGUAAUUCAUAAUAGAGACUUUUCAAAAAGAAAGGAAAAAGAGGGGGGGAAAGGGAAAGAAAAACGAGGCAAGGCAAGACAGUGGAGAUAAAAGUUACAUAUUAUUUCAUAAGGGAUGUAUGGAGCUGCUGAAAAAUCUAAGAAAUUGUGGGAAAGUUUUUGAUUUUGUUUUGUUGAUGUUACAAAGAAGGCUAAAUCUGGAAGUGUAUUUCUUUACUUUUACCUAAAAUUCCAAGGAUGUUCUACUUCAGCUUCAGUCCAAUUUUUAUACCUCAGGGUAAUUUGUGCCUCCUGACUUCUUUCUUUCUUUCUUCAAAAACUAGUGGAGAGGCAGCUGGGCAUGCUGUCGUGCCAGGAGUCUCAGAAGGUGCAGCAGAUGACUCGUGGUCCCAAAUGCACAUCCUCAGAAGUGAAGUCUAUCCCAGCCUAGGUUUAGGGGAUGGAGAAGGAAGCAGAGCAGUACCCAGCAAACCACACAGCACAAGGGAUCUGCAGGAACUUUACAUGAAGUCGAACUUCACUUCCCUUGUCAGCCUGCUCUGAGUGACUCACUGAAGUCUCGCCUGGAUCUCCUGAGAGCUGUUUCUCAUCCGAGCCUCUGAGUGUGCCAAACUCUACACUGGCAGUGUGAUGUACACAAAGAUUUCUUCAAGAUAAUUGUCUUCAUUCAAGGAGUAAUUUGAGAUUUAUAUCCUGAUGUCUAGAAAUAAAAGGCCACAAAGUCUAUGGUCUGAACACUGCACUCAUGCCCCUGGAUGAACCUAGGGGGAUUGCUGUCUCCAGUGAGACUCCCACCAGGCAGUCAGUAAGUAUCAUGAAGUGGCUUUUCCAUCCAAAGAAGGGCUGACGUGAAGGUACAUCAAAGAAAACAAUGAAUGCCUCCUGCUCUGACCUACAUAUUUCAUUCUGAGAGACUCAACUACAUUUGCUAGAACACUUGGAACAACUGUUAUCUUUUAGAAAUGAAAAGUCAUUUCUCCAGGGAAUAGCAUGGGGUGGAGUAGGGGGGGCCAUGCAGUGGCUUGAUAGGGUGCAGAACAUUUAAACUCGGCUGUAUUGAUUGUAGUGUAUGAUUGAAUGUAAUCAUUACUGUGUCUAUAUUUUUCUGUUUCAAUGAAACCAUCAGGCAGUGAGUCACGCUGUGCAUGUAACCCGGAGGAAAGUGCAAAGAGGCUGCUGAGGAGUAGCAGUACAAAAAUACCAUUGGCAUCUUUUCCCUAGGAGAGCAGGGCUCUGGACAAUUUCCACAGUCUAUUGCUGUUUUUCUUUUACAUGCAUUCUCUGCUAAAAUGUGUAAUAGAAUUGAGGACACGGUUGUGAGUAAAGAGUCUUCUUGCACAUGCUGUUCCAUAAUUAAAGAACAGUUAUAAUAGAAAUCCUGCUUUUUUUUCUGCUUUUUUUUUUUUUUUUUUUUUUUUUUUUUUUUUUUUUUUUUUUUUUUUUUUUUUUUUUUUUUUUUUUUUUUUUUUUUUUUUUUUUUUUUUUUUUUUUUUGGGGGGGGGGGGGGGGGGGGGGGGGGGGGGGGGGGGGGGGGGGGGGGGGGGGGGGGGGGGGGGGGGGGGGGGGGGGGGGGGGGGGGGGGGGGGGGGGGGGGGGGGGG